CUACUUCUCACCUGCAACAGUGGCCCAUCUAUCGAGGAGUCAUACGUUUGGGCGCUUUACCCUUUUUCCCACAUAAUAAAAACACUGUAUUUGGUUCCUAAAAAUGUCUUUGAGAGAAUUUCUAUAAAACAAAAUGAACGAUUUACUUCGAUUGAAAAUGUAUAACCAUACUCGUGGAAUUCACAAAUAUUCCCAAGUUGUCAAAAUGAGA